rnacentral:rRNA from 1 species
UGCUUCCUACGGGACGCAGCAGUAGGGAAUUUUCGUCAAUGGGCGCAAGCCUGAGCGAGCAAUGCCGCGUGAACGAGGAAGGUCUUCGGAUCGUAAAGUUCUGUUGAAGGGGAAAAAGAGCGGAGAGAGGAAAUGAACUCCGAUUGAUAUUACCCUUCGAGGAAGUCACGGCUAACUACGUGCCAGCAGCCGCGGUAAUACGUAGGUGGCGAGCGUUAUCCGGAAUGAUUGGGCGUAAAGGGUGCGUAGGCGGCCUGCUAAGUCUGGAGUGAAAGGUACCGGCUCAACCGGUACAGGCUCUGGAA